GUAGAGGUCGAAAGAAAUCUUGUUUGGUGUUUUAUAUCUUUCACCUUGUUGUUGGGAUAUGGAAGAGGAUUACAUCAAGUCCUAGCUUUUGGGUAGCAAAUGGUCAUAGGCAAGAUCUUUUGAAUGAAACAUUUUGGUUGAUGACUUUUUUCGAGUCUGCGGCUUUGAUUGGAAGUCAGGUGAUGAGCAAUUGGAUGGUGGGUGGUAAUUUGGAGAAAGAAAUUGCAUGUCCUUCCACUGCAGCUAUUCUUACAGCAAUAGUAGGCAUUAUCUGUAUUUCCAGAGUUUAUGGUGGGAGUCCUCAGACAGUGACCUUUAAGGAAUAUAAAGUGUCCUUUUACUCGUAUAUCCUUUGUGACUAACAUAUCAAAGGGUGCAGUUUAAUGAAUCUUCUCAUGGUUGUGGAGUUUGUGAUUGCGAAUUUGAGUGCUUGUGGACAGCGGCAUGACUUUUAUGUUGAAUGUGGUGUAUCCUUCCUUUUUUUUGUUCUUCUUUUACUGCAAAUGAGAAGUGACAUUUUCAUAAUUUCCAUAGGGAAUGUGAAUUGAAUUUUAGCUUCAUUUAAGCAUCAAUGCCUUUCAAGUUCAUAAAUAGGUUUGUCUAAUAAUGCUUAAUUUGGCCUUUGAACUAUGCUUCUUAUCCUAUUUUGGUAGGGUCCAUAAAUUGGUGCGAAUAAGAACGUGCUAUGUGGCAUCUUUCUUGUAAUUUUUAAAAAAAUUAAUUUCUUUUUUGCAAUUUUUUAAAAGUUAAAUACUUUUUUGAAAAUUUUAAUUAAGUUUUCAAUUUUUAUACAGUUUUUUAUAGUAGUUUUCUGGAUUCUCUGGUCCCCGACACUGGUGGUAAGAUCAUAUCUUUUGUUGAGAAGAAUGUUUACUUUGUUACUUGAAGGAUAAAUAUCUCAGUAGUCUCCUUUAUUUCCCAAUAAGACCAAUAACUUGAAAAAAAAAACUUUGUAUUUCCCUUUCCUUUUUGCUUUCAUUCUCUCUGUAAUCUAUCUUCUAAUUUCGAGUCUUGAAUUUUCUUCGCCCUUUUUUGCUUUUAAAGUACACCAGUACCACUCUUUAUUUUUUUCCUUCGCUUUCACUGGGAAUUUCUCUGCCACAAGUCGAGAUUUCAUUUCUAAGUAAUUUGUUUUCCUUCUUUACUGGGGUUAUUCUACUAUUCACUUCGCAAGAUUUGAAGCAAAAUCCAUUUCCGUGUGAUGGCUACUCAGGCAGCUAAUGGCUGUGAUAUUGAGCAUGUGCGUAUGAAUUUUUCACACAAGCGUUUGUAUUAUAAGAAGAAGAAAUUGCGGACUCUAAAGCCCAAGUGACUGUAAUUCAUCUGAUAAUUGGGACUCUCCAGAGGAUGAAUGUAUUUGGUGUUGAGAACAGAGAUACUUUGACACACAAAGCCACAGGAGUAAUAUUGCUUCCUCUUCUCUAAUUCAUUGUACUUCAUUGAACUGUUUAUACAAAACUUAAAUAUGUGUUACUUUGGUCAGUAUUCAGCUCGGCUAUUGAAGAAGGCUGAUCAGUGCAGAGCUGUUUAUGUAUGUUCCCAUCUAUUUUGGGUUGAUGAUUAGGAUGGCGUAAAGGACGAGGAGAGGUCUGGCCUCAAAACUUGUCCUUUGGUUUAGAUUUUUUUCAUGUAAACAUUAAAUUCAUUCAACAAUAAGGAACUGAAAAAAUUUGCGGGAGAGGUUGAAGGGUCCUCUAACAAUAAGCAAAUCACCAGUUCCGCAAUCCAAGGGCUGAUAGAAUUAAUUAAUACUGAGAUGCAAAGUGAUUCCAUAGACCCUAAUAGUGUGGCGGAUGCUUUCCUUGCCAGCACCUUGCGUUACAUUCAGUUCCAAAAACAAAAAGGCGGUGUAGUGGGUGAGAAAUUCGAUUCCGUUAAACUGUAAAUUGUUGAGUCAUGUAAAGAAGUAAUGCAUGGCAGUUAGAGAUGUAAAUAGGCGUUUAUUCUGGUUUUGGAUUUCAUAUUUGCUUGAUUAUAUCUUUUAUUAAACUGUAAAUUAUUGAGUCAUGUAAAUUGUAUUAUUUCUUUUAUUACCAAGAUUUACUUGAUUAAGAAAA